GGGGGAAGCCACAGUUCGGAGGAGCGAGAUGAGAGCGAGAGCCUCUCCAGUGAGGAGGUCUGAGGAUUGGGAACGGUGACGCCGUGUGACCACCCCUCCAGCAGCACGAAGAGAUCCUGGAGGAGCCCCUGAACCCUGGAAUGAUCAAUAA